GUGAUGCCAAUAGCAGGUAUCACUGAACUAUGGCUCCUGUGUGAGCUUCACUUCAGCUAUGUUGGGUGGGAGAUAGGAUGAAUGAUCUACUGUUUGCUCAUUUUCUAUCUUUGACUUCCACUUAACCCCAGUGUGAGCACAAAUACAACACAGGUUUGUUGUGUCUGUGUCUAUGUGUAGCCACUAUGCGGUGUUCAGACAGUUCUGUAGCUUUGGAAAUCAGUGUUUAUGUUAAACUAUCCAGAUUUUAUUUGCAUUUUUGAUUUGAAUGAUGAAGAAUGUGAGCAGGAUCCUCCUCCAGAUGUACUGAUGUGUAUGUGUUUGAGUAUCAUAAGCAUCAAUAUUAAAACAAUUUGUUAGAAUGCAUUCUUUAUGUGCUUGUCUGCUCAGGCCUGGCAACAGGUCUCUGGUGCUGAUUCACCCUGGCCAUGGAGGUGUCCCUGUGCUUAUGCUGGUACAGUGUGGUUGAAAAAUCAGAUGAAAUCAUAAUGGUGUGUAUUUUAUUGAUUCAAGUUAUUCUAAGAAGUGGAUUCGAAGAUCCUUUGGUUUCUCUUUUCCUGUUGAUGAAAUGGCUUGUCUCCUGAGGUUGUUGGAUUCUACUGUUUAAAGGUUUGUAGCUUUGGUCACGCAUGCCCUGGAAGGUGGAAGGCAUAUCUCACUUUUCCCUACAAGUAUGUCUCUCUACUGAAGCCCCUCCGAUCUUUUUGUUUGUAAAUUUGGAUUCUGUAUACUUAGGUGUAAGGAGUUUUGCCUGUUCAGCUCCUUUGCUGCUAGAUAUCCAUCUGGCUUCCGUGAAUUGAGAGGAACUAUACGUGAACUGAAUACCUGGCUGUGUGGGAAGCAGGAAGAGGUCUAGUUUUCAUUCUGGAGUAGUAGUGCCAUGGAAUUUCUAUCUCAUAUCGGCAGUUUCAGUUUUAUUAAAUCUGUUCCAGGAUUAGCCAGAAGUGAAUUCCCUCACUUUAUUCCCUCACUUUGCUUAAGCCACUUGCAGAGAAAUCCCAAGCUGAAGCUCUCAGCCUAUAAACAUACUGCUUCAACUCCUCAUCCCUCAAAAUGGAUGUCAACAACUGCAAUAGUAUCCUCAUUCUUCUCUGAGGAAGUUUCUUUUCCUCUAUGACACUUCAAAUUCCUGCCCAAGUUGUUUCUGUUUCUUUAAUAUUGGAGGAAGAGAAGUAAACAGUUUGGGCUAAGGCAAGAGAUGCAGGAAGUUCAUCUGCUGUAAGCCAGCAGGAUGGCUGCAGCCAGGAGAGUGAAAAGCUCUGGAAAAUUCAUCUAAUGCCUUUCCUAGAAAGGCCUGUGGCACUUUGAGCAUGAAUGCUGUAUAUGCGCUGGAGCAACAGUGCACAUGCUCUUUUUCUGGAUCUGUCUUAUAGGAGUGGAGGAGGGAAAAGAAUGUAAAAGCUGGUGAAGCUUUAGCCCCUGCCUUCAGCACAGUUCAGCUGAUGAAAGCCAGCAGUCAUUGCUCUCAGCAAGGGACCCGAUUCCAACCGUCAUGCUUGGACUGGGACAGCUUAACGGAGAUUCUGAGGAGCUCUGGGGGAGAGGCCACAUGGAGCAGCUGCUCUCCAAGCUGGGUGCUCACCUCCCCAUCCAUCACAGCUGCUGCUUUUGGAGAGAGCCACCACAGAUCAGGCACAUGAUGAAAUCUCUGGAGGGGCUGGAGCUACCCGCAGCCUAGUGAUGGGGAGCUGAGAUGGAGCAGCUGCCAGGGACCCACAGCUGUCACCCCGAGACCCUCAGCACCCGCCUGGCUCUGCUGGAGAACUGUUUGGAAACCUCAGGAUGGGAACAAGCCGCAGUGGCAGGGGGCACUGUGUGUUAGUCGAGGUUUGCAUUGUUCCUCUAAUCCUUUGCUCAGCACAGGGUGCCUGCCAUGGAGAUCCCCACAGGGCUCCCAGUCUUGGAAGCAGAGGAGGUAAAGAGUUGUAAAGGAAAGAUGGGUUAGAGAUGAGAAACUAACAAAUCAAAGCUCCUGAAACCCGCUGUGGAGAGAGAAACACAAAAUGUUUUGUUUGAAGAUGAAUAGAAAGCUGAAACCAGCAAAAAACAUCCCCACUCCCCACGAGCACAGAUGUUUCAGAGUUAUAUCUGACACCAGAGUCCAUCAGACAAAGUCCUUACAAACACAGGAGUCCUGAAGACAUCGGCUGAAUGUUUUUCCUGGUAUAAAGAAGAAGGGGAGGAGGAAGAGGUGGUGACAGUGCGGAUGCAGUGG